rnacentral:rRNA from 1 species
CCUACGGGGGGCAGCAGUGGGGAAUAUUGGACAAUGGGGGGAACCCUGAUCCAGCCAUGCCGCGUGUGUGAAGAAGGCCCUCGGGUUGUAAAGCACUUUCAGUGAGGAAGAACGCCUGGUGGUUAAUACCCAUCAGGAAAGACAUCACUCACAGAAGAAGCACCGGCUAACUCCGUGCCAGCAGGCGCGGUAAUACGGAGGGUGCGAGCGUUAAUCGGAAUUACUGGGCGUAAAGCGCGCGUAGGUGGCUUGAUAAGCCGGUUGUGAAAGCCCCGGGCUCAACCUGGGAACGGCAUCCGGAACUGUCAAGCUAGAGUGCAGGAGAGGAAGGUAGAAUUCCCGGUGUAGCGGUGAAAUGCGUAGAGAUCGGGAGGAAUACCAGUGGCGAAGGCGGCCUUCUGGACUGACACUGACACUGAGGUGCGAAAGCGUGGGUAGCAAACAGGAUUAGAUACCCCGGUAGUC